rnacentral:rRNA from 1 species
AACGAACGCUGGCGGCAUGCCUAACACAUGCAAGUCGAACGAGACCUUCGGGUCUAGUGGCGCACGGGUGCGUAACGCGUGGGAACCUGCCCUUAGGUUCGGAAUAACUCCCCGAAAGGGGUGCUAAUACCGGAUAAUGUCUUCGGACCAAAGAUUUAUCGCCUUUGGAUGGGCCCGCGUUGGAUUAGCUAGUUGGUAGAGUAAAAGCCUACCAAGGCGACGAUCCAUAGCUGGUCUGAGAGGAUGAUCAGCCACACUGGGACUGAGACACGGCCCAGACUCCUACGGGAGGCAGCAGUGGGGAAUAUUGGACAAUGGGCGAAAGCCUGAUCCAGCAAGGCCGCGUGAGUGAUGAAGGCCUUAGGGUUGUAAAGCUCUUUUACCCGGGAUGAUAAUGACAGUACCGGGAGAAUAAGCUCCGGCUAACUCCGU